rnacentral:rRNA from 1 species
GCACCACAAGAACGCGUGGAGCAUGUGGCUUAAUUUGACUCAACGCGGGAAAUCUUACCGGGUCCGGACACACUGAGGAUUGACAGGUAUUAUAUAGCGCGCUUGCGCGUCUAUUGUUAAAUAUGCUAGUCCUUUCAUGAUUAUGUGAUAGGUGGUGCAUGGCCGUUCUUAGUUCGUGGAGUGAUCUGUCUGCUUAAUUGCGUUUCAGAUAAGGAUCUAUAUUCUUUACAGAAGUGUUGCGUUGUGCGCAUUUGACCCCUCGUUCGCGAGUGCGUGUCUUUUCGCGCUCGCACGCUUUUUACAUUAGGUCCUGAAAGCAACGAACGUGACCGCAACCUCUUGUUGCCUCAUCUCCCUACUUUUUUAGCACUUCGGUGUUGAAUAAUUUCAUUGAGGCUUUCCAAAACUAGAGGGACCGCUGUCAACUUCUUAAACCAGAGGAAGGUUGCGGCAAUAACAGGUCUG